rnacentral:lncRNA from 1 species
AGUUAUGCUAUUGCAUGGGUAAAUGACUGUACAUUUCUCCCCACAAACGUGCUCAAAGGCUUGCUGCAGGUAAUACGCUUCAAUUAACCAAAUGAGAUAAUUAAUCAAAUCUUAAGGCUAACAAAUCGAAAUGGAUUAAAGUAACAAACCACAAAUAAAAGGUGAUAGAGAAUUAAAGAUUAUUGGGAUGGAAGAUGGGCGUCGCUUCCUAGAGACACGGCCAGCUCCCAUGUGGGCAUAAUGCCUGCCUGAGCCCUUAAGGGAUCCAAUGAGGAUAGGAUUCAAUAUCGAGUCGCCACAUGAGCAAAGUUUCAUCAUUAUUCAAAAUGCAUUUUUUUGUUUCAAAUCCAGGCUUAGAAGAAGCCAAGAAUCACGUAGCAAAUGCUGUUAGCCUAGUGAUUUUAACAGAACAAAUUUAUUUAGACCCAAAAGAGAAGCCCAAACCAAUAUGAUGCCAUGGCGAGGUAGGGAUCCAAGAUUGAAUCCCCUACAGAAAUAAAAUCAACCCAAUAACAUGUUCAUAAGCUCAAAUUUACGGAAAAACAAACUCAGAUUGCAACCAAAUCCUGAAAUAACGAAACUAUCUACUGAAUUAACACAUAUAGGAGUUAUGAACAAAAUGAUGAACGAGUUAAGCCCUUUCCAAACCUCAAGUCUUGAUGCAUACAGAAAAUCAUAGUAUCUUUAAUGAACGAAGUAAUACCACCAUAUAAGACUAAUUACAAGAUUAAAUAUCAUCCCAACACCAUUAUUUUACUAUCAGUUCUUUAACAUUAAACCAACCAAGGGGUUGCUUCAAAUACAACUGCUUAUGCUAUUCAAAACCAAAAAAUCUAACCCAAUUAGGCAUGAAUGUAUCUUAAACACAUGAUGCUAGCAGUCUUUAAACCAGUACAGGUGUAAAAUCUAGACAGAUGUACAAUAAUCAUGUGAUAAAUGACACAUACAUCAUGAAGAAAUGUAAAUAGAAAUGAGAGAAUCCAUAAUUAUGUUUUCAACUUUAAAUUUCAUCUUCAUAUUGAGAUUUACACCCAAUGGAACUUAGGAAAGUACCUGAAUAUAGGAAGAACAAAGAGGAAGGGUAAGGAUUCAGUAGCAACAGCAAAAACCUAACACCAAGUCACGACCAAAUUUGAAUUCAGAAAAUGAUAUGAGACAACCCAAAAAUCAGCUUCAGACUUAGAGCACUCCAGCAAACAUAAACCAGACUUGAAUGACUCCAACUCAAACCAUUUUAAUCCCAAAUGAUUCAGAAAUAGCUCCAGGAAAAAGAGAUGUCAAAACAGAGAUGCGAAACCAAUGAAACAGUAAAAUCAAUAUAGCUUUUUAUAUAUUUUUUGGUUUUAAGAUCUUCCAAUAUCUCUCAGAUUUCAGAAUGUUCAAAAAGCUCUGUAUUUUUCUGAAUUUUUCAGCUCUCUCCCUCUCCGAUUUUUAGAGUGUGCAAUGCUUUCUUUUCUGGAUUUCAGCUCUUUUCUCCUUGCCUUGAAAGGAAAGUUUAGUGUGCCUUUAUAAGCAAGUAAAGUAUGGCAGAUUUUUAACUUAUUUUACCCCCUUAGGUCCCCUUUUAUUUCUUCUCUUAGCUCAGAUACCCCUCCCUUACUUACCAGAAGUUCAAAAUAGUCUCCAGACCCCCUUUCCUAGAAACUUCCCAAGGUUAUUAUACCUAGAUUCCCUAAACCAAUUCUCCACGCUACCCUUCAUACCCCUGUUUAAUUACCCUUCCAGUCCAGAAUGGAUAUGGGUCAAAUAAACCAAACAAAUAGAGGUCGAGAGUUGUUAUUGGGACGGGCCGAAGUAAAUUGAGGGCCCAAAUAAUUAAACCUGAAUUAUGAACAGUCCGAGACCCAAAAACAAUUUGACCCAAACCCCAUUAAUAAACAAUGGCCCCCAAAAGAAACUAAUCAAUUUUAAGACUCGCAAACUGAAGUGGUUCUAACCAUUUAAUAAGAUUAAUCAAAAUUAAAUCAAAGCUAAUAUUUAUACGAAUUAAAACAGAAACACAAAGGACAAAAUGAAAAGAAGUAAACGGCAAAGAGAUGGAGGAGUAAUCAACAGAAAAUGAACCUAAAUAAUUUGAGUUGACGAAGGAGGAUGACGAAGAACACACAUAUAUAAUACCUUCAAAGCCGUCUAAACAAUACUUGAUGAACUUCGAUGGCUUCGACUUGAUUUGAAACAAAUAUUAACCGAAUCUUCUCAAAGAAAACAUAUAUUCAAUACUCGUUUCGAGCCAUGUCUCUCAAAGGAACUGAAGGCUUGACAGAUGCUCUUUUUGUUUACUUUCAGAUUCAAGACCGGACUAAUCUGGUGAAGGCUUGGAAAACAUGGCGGCAUAUUGGGAUUGAGAGAUGAGUGGUGGUUGUAGGGACGAGAUUUGGGUGGUAUUUGAACUUUUUAACUUGGUGAAAAUGGCGGAAAUCUCAAGGCAUACUAGGGUUGAGAACUGAGAAGAUGAGGGAGAGGAGAAGCAAUCAUCUCUGAAGUGGAACGUUUGGAAAUUAUAUGUAAAUUGGGAGAAGUAUUUGAAGCCGUUGGAUGAGACACAAAGGAGGACACAGAUUGACUUUAGC